rnacentral:rRNA from 1 species
GAUGAACGCUAGCGGUAGGCUUAACACAUGCAAGUCGAACGGGAUUCGGGUAGCAAUAUCUGAUGAGAGUGGCGCACGGGUGAGUAACGCGUAUGCAACCUACCUGUAACUGGAAAAUAGCCCCCGGAAACGGGGAUUAAUGUUCCAUAAUGUUUAGAGAUCGCAUGAUUUUUAGACUAAAGUUCCGGCGGUUACAGAUGGGCAUGCGUGACAUUAGCUAGUUGGUGAGGUAACAGCUCACCAAGGCUACGAUGUCUAGGGGGUCUUAAAGGAUGAUCCCCCACACUGGUACUGAGACACGGACCAGACUCCUACGGGAGGCAG